UACGUAGGGGGGCAAGCGUUGUCCGGAUUUAUUGGGCGUAAAGAGCGUGUAGGCGGCCAUGUAGGUCCGUUGUGAAAACUCGAGGCUCAACCUCGAGACGCCGAUGGAAACCAUGUGGCUAGAGUCCGGAAGAGGAGAGUGGAAUUCCUGGUGUAGCGGUGAAAUGCGCAGAUAUCAGGAAGAACACCCGUGGCGAAGGCGGCUCUCUGGGACGGUACUGACGCUGAGACGCGAAAAGCGUGGGGAGCGAACAGG
rnacentral:rRNA from 1 species